rnacentral:rRNA from 1 species
GAGGAAUAUUGGUCAAUGGGCGCAAGCCUGAACCAGCCAUCCCGCGUGAAGGAAGACGGCGCUAUGCGUUGUAAACUUCUUUUCCAGGGAAAUAAAAUCCGGUACGUGUACCGGAUUGAAGGUACCCUGGGAAUAAGCAUCGGCUAACUCCGUGCCAGCAGCCGCGGUAAUACGGAGGAUGCAAGCGUUAUCCGGAUUUAUUGGGUUUAAAGGGUGCGUAGGCGGGAAAAUAAGUCAGUGGUGAAAUCCUACAGCUUAACUGUAGAAUUGCCGUUGAUACUGUUUUUCUUGAGUAUGGUCAAGGAAGGCGGAAUGUGUAAUGUAGCGGUGAAAUGCUUAGAUAUUACACAGAACACCAAUUGCGAAGGCAGCUUUCUGGCCCAUUACUGACGCUGAGGCACGAAAGCGUGGGGAUCGAAC